CCUACGGCAGGCAGCAGUGGGGAAUAUUGGACAAUGGGGGGAACCCUGAUCCAGCCAUGCCGCGUGUGUGAAGAAGGCCUUUUGGUUGUAAAGCACUUUAGGCGAGGAGGAGGCUACCUAGAUUAAUACUUUAGGAUAGUGGACGUUACUCGCAGAAUAAGCACCGGCUAACUCUGUGCCAGCAGCCGCGGUAAU
rnacentral:rRNA from 1 species